ACGAACGCUGGCGGCGUGCCUAAUACAUGCAAGUUGCGCGAUGAAGAUUGGUGCUUGCACCAAUUUGAAGAGCAGCGAACGGGUGAGUAACGCGUGGGGAAUCUGCCUUUGAGCGGGGGACAACAUUUGGAAACGAAUGCUAAUACCGCAUAACAACUUUAAACAUAAGUUUUAAGUUUGAAAGAUGCAAUUGCAUCACUCAAAGAUGAUCCCGCGUUGUAUUAGCUAGUUGGUGAGGUAAAGGCUCACCAAGGCGAUGAUACAUAGCCGACCUGAGAGGGUGAUCGGCCACAUUGGGACUGAGACACGGCCCAAACUCCUACGGGAGGCAGCAGUAGGGAAUCUUCGGCAAUGGACGAAAGUCUGGCCGAGCAACGCCGCGUGAGUGAAGAAGGUUUUCGGAUCGUAAAACUCUGUUGGUAGAGAAGAACGUUGGUGAGAGUGGAAAGCUCAUCAAGUGACGGUAACUACCCAGAAAGGGACGGCUAACUACGUG
rnacentral:rRNA from 1 species